rnacentral:lncRNA from 1 species
UUGUUAUGACUCCAAGGGGAGCACCACCCAACCACCCACCUACCACCAAAACUGACAGCCGCGCUCAAGCAACUCCUUUCUCUCCACUCCCAUCGCUGGAUUGUUCCUUCCACUCUUGCCCAUCGUAUAAAACAACGUUUACCAGUAAAUAUCGGUUUAUUCCUGAAACCAGAAGCCCUAAACAUAUCUUUGUUUAUAAGAACUUUCAGUACCAUCUAUCAAUAUCAUCCUAUGACCUCUUAUUUGCAAAACAAGUUUAUUCUGUGUCCAUUUGAUCUAUCCAGAAAUAACAAACUGGUGUAUACAUUCAUUCAUCAUAUUCAUACUAAGGAAAAUACGAAGAGCACUCAAAAUAGUAAAUGUAGUGAUGGUGAUACAGGGAAUGUAAUAAGAACAUUUAAAUUGCACACAUAUAUAUACUGUUUCCCCGAAAAUAAGACCUAACCUGAAAAUAAGACCUAGUAUGAUUUUUCAGGAUGUUCAUAAUAUAAGCCCUACCCCCAAAAAAGCCUCAGUUAAGUGAAACCCCACCCUCUACCAUUGUUCAGCAACCAGAAGAUGACAUAAUUGUAUUUGAAUAUAUGUAGAUUGUUGUACAUGAAAAAAAUAAAACAUCCCCUGAAAAUAAGCCCUAAUGUGUU